UACGAAGGGGGCUAGCGUUGCUCGGAAUUACUGGGCGUAAAGGGAGCGUAGGCGGAUAGCUUAGUCAGAGGUGAAAUCCCGGGGCUCAACCUCGGAACUGCCUUUGAUACUGGCUGUCUUGAGUAUGGGAGAGGUGUGUGGAACUCCGAGUGUAGAGGUGAAAUUCGUAGAUAUUCGGAAGAACACCAGUGGCGAAGGCGACACACUGGCCCAUUACUGACGCUGAGGCUCGAAAGCGUGGGGAGCAAACAGG
rnacentral:rRNA from 1 species